rnacentral:rRNA from 1 species
GACCCGUCUUGAAGCACGGACCAAGGAGUCCAACAUGUGCGCGAGUCUAAGGGUUGCAUAAACCUGGAGGCGAAAUGAAAGUGAGCUCCUUGAUUGGGGCAGGCCGAUCCCUUGUCAGCCGUCGGGGCCGUGCUGGGCAGGUGCGGUGUAAGUUUCGUUGGAAGCUGCUGCUGGCCUUUGUGCGGUCUGGGUGGGUUGGCUGUCUCGCUGUCAAAGGUGGGAUAUUGGGCGCAGGCCGAGGACUUGCCAUAGUGCGGCGCGGGCAACGGGUUGCCGCCUCUCGGGGUGGCUUCCUUAUCCCGAUGUCCGCCGGCAAGUACCUGAGAGCGCAGCCGUUGGGACCCGAAAGAUGGUGAACUAUGCCUGGCGAGGACGAAGCCAGAGGAAACUCUGGUGGAGGUCCGAAGCAGUUCUGACGUGCAAAUCGAUUGUCAGAGCUGGGUAUAGGGGCGAAAGACUAAUCAAACCAUCUAGUAGCU